CAAUAGCGUAUAUUAACGUUGUUGCAGUUAAAAAGCUCGUAGUUGGAUUUCUGGAGGGAGCGUCGGCCCGUAUUUACGAGUGCGUGACGUCUCUGUCCAUCCUUGCGGGAAGGCACGGCAUUGAUUUGUUGUGUCGGAUCGCAUCAUUUACUGUGAAAAAAUUAGAGUGUUCAAAGCAGGCUUUCGCUUGAAUACAUUAGCAUGGAAUAAUAAGAUAGGACUUUGGCGCUAUUUUGUUGGUUGAGCCUAAAGUAAUGAUUAAUAGGGAUAGUUGGGGGCACCUGUAUUGCGUUGUCAGAGGUGAAAUUCUUGGAUUUACGCAAGACAAACAGCUGCGAAANCGNNNGCCAAGGAUGUUUUCAUNAA
rnacentral:rRNA from 1 species